GUGCAGUGGUGUUUACAACUAAUCGAUCACCAGUUACAGGUCCCUUUGUUCCCUCUCUGCUCCCACCGCUUCAC
rnacentral:sRNA from 1 species